rnacentral:rRNA from 1 species
UACGGAGGGAGCUAGCGUUGUUCGGAAUUACUGGGCGUAAAGCGCGCGUAGGCGGCCUUGCAAGUUAGAGGUGAAAGCCCGGAGCUCAACUCCGGAACUGCCUUUAAAACUGCAUAGCUUGAAUCCGGGAGAGGUGAGUGGAAUUCCGAGUGUAGAGGUGAAAUUCGUAGAUAUUCGGAAGAACACCAGUGGCGGAAGGCGGCUCACUGGACCGGUAUUGACGCUGAGGUGCGAAAGCGUGGGGAGCAAACAGG